GGCCUCAUGGAGGCCUUUAGGCCGGAGAGCGGCGAAGGGGCUGCGGCGCGGGGGCCCGAGGGGCGGCUGGCAACCGACGCGAGGGUACAUUUCCGUGUGACCAGGUUCAUCAUGGAGGCAGGUGUCAAGCUGGGGAUGCGUUCCAUUCCCAUUGCCACUGCCUGCACCAUUUACCAUAAGUUCUUCUGUGAGACCAACCUGGACGCCUAUGACCCUUACCUGGUCGCCAUGUCUUCCAUUUACUUGGCUGGCAAAGUGGAGGAGCAGCACCUGCGUACCCGUGACAUCAUCAAUGUGUCCAACAGGUACUUUAACCCAGGCAGCGAGCCCUUGGAACUGGACGCCCGCUUCUGGGAGCUCCGAGAUAGCAUUGUGCAGUGUGAGCUGCUCAUGCUGAGAGUUCUGCGCUUCCAGGUCUCCUUCCAGCAUCCCCACAAGUACCUGCUCCACUACCUGCUUUCCCUCAAGAACUGGCUGAACCGUUACAGCUGGCAACGGACCCCCAUUGCCGUCACUGCCUGGGCCCUGCUGCGGGACAGCUACCACGGGGGGCUGUGCCUCCACUUCCGGGCUCAGCACAUAGCCGUGGCAGUGCUCUUCCUGGCCCUGCAGGUCUAUGGAGUCGAGGUGCCUGCUGAGGCCGAGGCCGAGAAGCCAUGGUGGCAGGCAUCAAUCAGCUUCCUGGCGCAGGGCAGCUGCAGCAUCUGACCAAGGGCUUGUUGCUUUGCUCUUUCUUUCCCUUGUCAUGGAGGUCCCCAAGAGUCCCCUCAGGCUCAAUGAUGUGCUGAGAGGACUCAGAAGUCAGAAAAUUCGUCACACUGACAGUUACAGUUUAUUGCAACGAAAGGACACAGGUUAAAAGCAGCAAAGGUACAAGAUUUAUACCAUGGACACAGAGCUCCCCUAAGGCCCCGGCCCAGGCCUGCCCAAAGAGAAGCCCAGGAUGGUCGGCUGCCUGGGGAUGGUGCCACCACGUCGCUGUGACAGCUGGUCCCCAGAGGACCAGCUGGGAGGACUGUUGUGCUGCUGGAGAUGGGCUGGUGAAGGCGAUGACAUGCUGCCGCUUUGUCCCCAGCAGCCGCGGUCCAGACGACGAUGGGAGCCGCACCUCCAGCAGGCAGGCCGGGAGCGCACUGUGUGCAGCUGACCCGAGGCGGCCAUGUCUGCUUUUGUCCUUUGAGAGGACUCCGACUGCAAGUGAGGCAUGACAUCAUUGCAAGGAAAGUCAAAGAACAGAUGGGACUGUAUCCCUAGGGAUUUUUUAAAGCCAGAUUUAUAGAAAGUGGGAUGUGCAACAUAGAUGGGAUUUUAUUUUGUGUAAUAAAAGAUGAUGCGAAUCA